UCCGCUAUACAUGCGCACAACGCAACCUCUCAAACCCAGAGAGGACGUCGGUGGCGAACGAAAGCUCUUGCCUUUGAGGUGGAAGUCCUACGGGCGCCGCCUUCUUCGAUUACAGAUGGGGUAGUCCUAUUUCCCUCCUACUUAUUUCAAUCUCUUUCGUUUUUUGAUGGUUUAGUUGACUCCAUAUCGAUCUUUUGUUUGAGGUGAUCCGCUUAGUGUAUGAUGAUGAUUGUCUGGUUGAUUUUAGUUGGUACGACCAGAAAUUUCCGAGGCAAUGCGUUCAUCCUAUUGAGAGGUAAGGGUUUGGCGUUCUGAUUUCUGAUCCUGGUCCAUUGAGUGCCUUCUCUUGUGACUCUAAAGUAGUUGAAAAGGAAAUGAUGGUAGAAAAGGAUGUAUUGUGUCUCUAUGAGGCCACCUUCUACUGUACGAACGCUUAUGGACGGUCAAGUGCUGAUUGGACUUGUGCAUAUCAGCACGUAACAAAAGCAUAAGCUAAAGAGACUAUCUGCCACUCGCAAUCCUUCCUUAAAGCAAUCAUCUUUGAGGAAAGUACUGUUAGUGGUAUUCAAUUCUGGGACGUUAAUCAUCUCAGGGUUCUCUUUUUGUGUCUUUGACUAUAUUAUAUGUUAUACUGUAACUCUUUUUGAUGUUUGGGUUAAUCCUGAUUUAUAUCUUGCAUUGUGCUAUUUGUAACUGUAUUAUGCUACCAUCACCUGCUUCCACAAACAACUCCAUUUAGUGGUACUUUCUUUGGACCAACUUGGAGACUAAUUAUAUUGUGAUGUGAACUCUUUAAAACUCUUGAUGCUGUUAUGCUUUAUGAGUUUAUGAUGCCGUGAAAGAUGAAAAGUUUCCAGUAGACUUUACCUGACAAAACUAGAAACUUGCAAGACAAUGUAGUUGACCUAUGAGCGUUAAUUGAGUUUGGCUGUUUGACUGUCUGAUGUGUUGUCUAGUCUUUGAACUCAAAGAAUAAGUUAAUUAGUAAUUGAUGGUACAGAAGGAUUUUCUUGUAUGUCCACGAGGCAUCUUCCAACCAUUCAAAUGCUUAUGGACGGUCAAGUGCUGAUUUGACUUGGGCACAUCAGCACCUAACAAUAUCAUAAGCUAAAGAAACCAUCUGCCACUGGCAAUCGUUCCUUGUUAGCAAUCAUUCGAGGAAAAUAUGCUUGGUGGCAUUCAUUUUUAUACAUACUCAUGGUUGGAGUUAGACUGGUUUGUAAUUUGGAGAUUGUUAUAUUUAUAAAUAUAUGUAAAUUUUGUAAGUAACUGCCUCCAUAAAUAUUCGUGUGAGUUGUCUUGUGCUGAUAUUGGGCUUCACAUACCAAUGAAAGUUUGGGUGCUGAAGUUGAAGUUUCAUUUGACUUACAUUAGAGGAUUGAGCAAGAGAGUCAAAUUUCAAUUCAACAAGGCGUUCUGUGACAGUGAAAUCUUUGUUUUCGCCUGCAAGAGAGGGUUCUUUGCUUAGUGUAAGCUUUUAGUUACCUCUUUGAGUUGUCAAAAUUCGUGGCUGAAAAACUUGCUAUCUUGUACAUUUAUGCUUCAUUAUAUAUAAAGAUGUUUUCUUUGUCUUUUUUGACAUUGCAUUAUCAGUAGCUUGUGUUUUGUCUUCUCUAUACCUUUUUAUAGGGUUGACCAUUGCUUGGUUCUCCCUGGAUGUGGAUGAAUUUUGUUAUGAUAAUGGUCUUAUUUUCUUGAUGACCCUCCUUACCAGCUAAAGGUUAGUCAUAAAAAUGGCAUAUGAAGUGUUUUUGUCUGUGUUACCAGUUGAGGGCACUUAAUGAUUUAUAAGGAUCACGGAAGAUUCCAGUAUCAUCUUGUUUGAAUAGCAAAUGAUCUCUUGUCUCUAAUACAAAAUGAUUCUUAUGCUGUAAAAUUAAUCUGUAUGCAGUUGUUUAAUUGUGAGUAGGCUAGAAUAUCAAUCUUGCAAUAUUAAAGUCAUUGUGAAUUUUGCAUAGAUCAGCAGCAUACAAGGAUUAGAGGUUUAGAUGUAUUAUCAUGGCAACACUGGUAAAGCUUUACAUAAAUGAAGCUUUAUUAUUAUUUUUUUUGUCUAAAUUAUUCCGACAACUGAAGUCUACGGCAGGAAGAUGUUGUGUGGGAGUCGGUCGCAAGCUGAGUGAGGAUCCAGAGGUGGGCUGAUAAUGAAUGAAAGAAUCUUUUUGCUAAUUAAUCUCAUGGCAGAGGAAUUGUUUUAGAGAAAAUAUGAGCAAAAUGAUAUCUCCUUUAUGCCUAUUUCUUCCUUGUGAGACGACAAUAUUAUGGCUUGUGUAGUGGAUUCAAACUGCAGAGGUAUUGAGGCAAAGGAGAAAACUCGUCAUCCAGAAGUGUGCUUGCGAUCAGCUGAUUGUAAAUGUAAGAAGAUUGCUGAUCUCGUGCCAAAUGAUGGUUGCUUGCAUUUCAUCAAGGAAAAUGACGAGGUGUGCAUGUGGCUGAAAAUUUUUCAGGUGUUUUUUCUUUAAUGAAUUCAUAGGACAUAGAGUUGAAUCUCGGUGGAUCAUGGCAGCAGGAGAUUUUCAAGGUGUUUAGCUCUGAUUGAGUAGGAGAAGCAUCUAUAUCAUAUGUUUCUCUGCCACUUCUUAAAGACCAGCAUUAAAGAGCAGCAGUAAGCUACAUAAGCAGACCUCACAUUUAUGAAGUCUCGUGAUGUCGAAAAGAUAAAUACCAUGCUGAUGUUAGUACUGUUUUUUACUUGCAUUUUGCAUUUGCUGUAUGAUUUUGGAGAACAAUGUAUUCUUUGGCACCUGUUUUGUUGAUUGACUUCUUUCUCAUCCGUGAUGUAUUGUUAUAUUAGUGUUGUAUCGUAAAACAGUUGGUUGUGUAUUCUUUUUCAAACAAAGGGAACAGUGUCUCUAUUCCUUCUUUCUUUU